UGCCGAAGACAUGGACAACGGAGUCUGUAACACUGGUUAUGGAAGUUCUUAGAUUGAAACACCUUAUGUAACUGAUCCAGUUUCCUUGGAGAAACUUUAAAAUUUUAGUCACAAUGAGAGCACUUGAGGGAGAAAGUAUUGUAAAGCCACGACAUGAGAGGUUGCAGACUUGGCAUUCACGCUCUGCUCAUAUAAAUGGUGGUAUCUGAGUGUUGCGGGAGUUCUGUUAUAGCGGCUAACGUGUCAUCCGCUUCGAGAGGUGCGGAGAGCGUCGAAAUCUAGUAUAACAUCCAGAGUUGUUGUGCCCGGGAUGAACGGACCUGCUUGCCAGUGCCACUUCUCCUCGAGAGAUUUCAUCACAUAUCACGAGCCCUGUGACGUCAGCUGUCUGGCUGAUUUGUUGGGACUGGUUAAACCGGUCAUUGGUAGGGUCCUUUGGGUGUCUUGCUAGGUCAGGGAGGCAGGUAGCCGUUGUGCGAUUUAUCGUGCUUCUAGGGUGUAAUAAGAAAGAACUUGCUUACGGUUUCAGUCGCGUCAGCAGUUAGUCGGAGCGGAGCGUUGUCAUGUGCGUUGCGGGCGUUCGUGAUUCGAGCGACCGGGCGGCUCCUCGGAGUACUGGAGUUUGCCUUAGAUAUGCUAUGGUGAACAUACAAUGGAGGAUCUCCCUAGUAUAUCGGCUCGCGUGUACGUUCGGAGUAAUCGGUUAGGCGGUUUGCGCUUUGUUUGCACUUCUGUAAGGGACAGCAAACACGCUACUGUGGUGUACGUGGUAGAACGCUACCACAACACUACCCAGUCUAUGACAUAAACACAAGGACCAAAGAGAGCAGUAAACAUAGUGCGCGAGUGCAUUGGGAAGUCUUACGUAAAACGCAGAGGCAGACAGUGAAGGAAGGCUCGGAUAUGUCUGUGGCUGAAGGUGAAGAAUCCUGUCGUUCUCUCAUGCGGCGAGGGUUAAUCUCACCACUUCGCAGAGAGAGCGAGGCGCAUUCAGCACCCACCGGCCCGUCCAUGGCUUAGAGUGCAGCUCCGCGGAUGCUUGACUCAAUUACAUCGGGGCGCGAGCUAUCGAAGACAUGAUUGAGACCCGAAAGAUAUUGGAUUGAACCUAUGCUUGCCGCAGGUUGAAGCCAGAGGAAACUCUGGUGGAGGACGCAAGCGAUUUCUGACGUGCAAAAUCGAUCGUCAAACGUGCAGUAUAGGGGCGAAAGACUCAUCCGAACACACAUCAUAUGUCAGCUGGGUCAAUCUGCGAAGUUUCCUCAGCGACUAGCUGGCAUUCUAAGUCGAUAUAAUAAGCAGUCUCUUAUCCGGAUAACAGCGAAGUGAUUAAGAGGAUUUGGGGCGCGAGAACAGUCCUCUCAACCCUAGUUCUCAUAUCUUUAAGCUGGGUGAGAAGCCCUAACUUCGCGUCAAUACGGAGUGCGGACCUCUGAAUGUGAGUGUCAAUGGGCCAUUUUCUCUCGGUAAGGCAGAACUGGCGCUGUGGGAAGGAACAACGGUUCGGUUAAGGUGCCUAAACGCGACGCCAUGAGAUACACAAAGGUGUUGGUUGGUCCCAGACAGCAGACGGGGCCCAUGGGAAGUUGGAAUCCGCUUAAGCAGAGUGUGUAACAACUCAUCGCCUGCCGAAUCAGCCCCAGCCUGAAAAUGGAUGGGCGCUGGAGCGUCGGACCUAUAGCGGCGGAGGUGUGGGCUGAGUCCGGUAAUGUGUGGUGUGAGGGCAAGGCCACAUGACUCAGGCGCGGAAUGUUGUGACGAGUAGGGAGGGCUUCGCCGUGGUGACGCGGGAAGCUCGGGCGUGAGCCUGAGUGAGCCCGUCACGCGGUGCGAAUCUUGGUUGGUAGUAGCAAAUAUUCAAGUGAGAACCUUGAAGCCGAAGGUGGAAGAAGGGUUCCAUGGGAACAGCAGUUGGCCAUGGGUCAGGCGGUCCUAAGUGAUCUCGGUAAAUCGGUGCAGAGCGGGGUGCUGACUUGUCAGGAUUGCUGUCCAUUGUUACUGUUGCACGUAGCCCCUGUAGCGAAAGGGAAUCGGGUUAAUAUUCCGACCUGCCACAGCGCGGAGAAUUGGUGUAUUACUGGCUACGGUCAGUUUGCACUACGUGGCGAGGUAACAGCAAUGACUCGGAGACGUCGUGGCGAGAGUUUCUGGGUACACGAGUUCUCUUUUCUUUGAUUAGCGUGCACCAUCCCUGGAAACGGGUUGUGCCGCGGGAGAUAGGGGACUAGCUCCGUAAAGACCACCCUUCCUUGUGGUGUCCGGAACACUCUUGUCGGCCUUGAAAAUCCGAGCGACGGCUAUACUAAUUUUCGUGGCAGGCGCGUACCCCACAAUUCCGCAUCAGGCAAUAGUAUGGUAGAAACAGCUCGUGCAACACUCUGGCACUUUGACACAAUGUAGUAAGGGAAGUCGGCAAAUUGAUCCGUAACUUCGGGAAAAGGAUUGGUCUGAGGGCCGAGUCGAACGGGCUGAAGUAAGAUACGUGUCGGUCAAAGUUGGAGGCUGAGUUCUUUCUGUUGCUUGUCCUGCUUCGGUGGGUACGGGUUGACGGAGUACUGGACUCCCUGCCCGGAUCGGUCGUGGCGACUUCAGCUAACAGGUUGCUUGCAACGGUGUGCAUCGGGUAACUGUGUGCGCAAUGCGGGAUCUUGCUCUCUUCGUCUGGCGUUCACGUUCUACCUCAGAACUGGCACCGGACCGAGAGGAAUCCGACUGUCUAAUUAAAACAAGAGCAUUGCGAUGUCCACUGAUCGGUUUUUGACGCAACUGUGAUUUCUGCCAGUGCUCUGCAAUGUCAAAGUGAAGAAAUUCAAUCAAGCGCGGGUAACGGCCGGGAGUAAUAUGACAUCUCUCUAAAGGUAGAUCCAAAUGCGCUCGUCACUACUAAUUAGUGACGCGCAUCGAAUGCGCAUUAACGAGAUUCCCUACUGUCCUAUCUCUUCUAGGAAACCAACCAGCCAAGGCGAACGGGCCUGGCAGAUUAGCGGGGAAAUGAAGAACCCUGUUGAGCUGACUCUAGUCCGACUUUGUGAGGAAGACAUGACGGGUGUAGAAAAGUGGGAGAACCGGUCCUUCGGGGCUUGUCGACAGUGAAAUCCACCACCGUUCAUUGUUUCUUUGCUUAUCUCAAUGUAAAACGGGAAUUGAUUUUGGCUUUAAAGCACAUCUGGCAGUUCGUGCGUAUGCUGGCGGGGUCUGUAUCUCAUGGUCAGUCAGAAGUCAGUCGUGGUCUCGGCCGCGGCGUUGAGUCUGAUUGUGAUGUGCGAAGACCGCGUUCUGAAGACAAUGUCAGGCGGGGAGUUUGAACUGGGGGGUACUCUGUCAAAUGGUAAGCAGGGUGUCCAAGGUUGAGCUCAAGCCAGGACGGAAACCUGGCGUGGAGUAAAAGGGGCAAAAGACUUACUUGAUUUUGAUUUUCAGUACGAAAAUACAGACCGGUGGAAAGCGUUUUGGCCUAUCGAUCCUUUUUGAAAUCCGAUAUUAGAGUUUGAAGCAAGAGGUGUCAAGAAAAGUUACCACAGGGAUAAACUGGCUUUGGCGGCAAGCGUUCAUAGCGACGUCGCUUUCUUGAUCCUUCGAUGUCGGCUCUCCCUAGCGUUGUGAGGCCAGAAUCUCACCACGCGUUGGAUUGUUCACGGCCUAUAGGGAACGUGGAGCUGGGUUUAGAAGCGUCGUGAGACAGGGUUAGUUUUUACCCUACUACUGAGUACACUUUGAUAAACUCAAAGGUAGACACGUAGACAAAUCUGUGAAGUCAGAUGCUUCUGAUGAGAAUUAAAAUGUAUCGAGACCUAUUUGUAUUAUCGCUCUCAUGCGAGAACCGCAGGUUCAGUCCUUUUCACAUGUUGUAUAAUUGUGCAAGUCGGGAUCGAAAGGCCAAUGGUCGCGAUAGCUUACAUCUGACGGGAUUAAAGAGACUACGAACCUGCUAAUAUAGUUCUGAAAUCUCGCGUCCGAGAUUUUAGUAUUCUGUGUGCUCACUUAUACAGAACUGCUCUUGCACAGUGGCUAGGCAGCUCAUCGUAUUCCUGCCGGUGCUUUGGUUCAGGCUAAUGUGCCCUGGCUAGGUCCGGUGGGUCUGGUUGU
rnacentral:rRNA from 1 species